CCUACGGGGGGCAGCAGUGAGGAAUAUUGGUCAAUGGACGAGAGUCUGAACCAGCCAAGUAGCGUGAAGGAUGACUGCCCUAUGGGUUGUAAACUUCUUUUAUAUGGGAAUAAAAUGUUCCACGUGUGGGAUUUUGUAUGUACCAUAUGAAUAAGGAUCGGCUAACUCCGUGCCAGCAGCCGCGGUAAUACGGAGGAUCCGAGCGUUAUCCGGUUUUAUUGGGGUUAAAGGGAGCGUAGGUGGAUUUUUAAGUAAGUUGUGAAAUUUUGCGGCUCAACCGUAAAAUUGCAGUUGAAACUGGCAGUCUUGAGUACAGUAGAGGUUGGCGGAAUUCGUGGUGUAGCGGUGAAAUGCUUAGAUAUCACGAAGAACUCCGAUUGCGAAGGCAGCUCACUGGACUGCAACUGACACUGAGGCUCGAAAGUGUGGGUAUCAAACAGGAUUAGAUACCCGAGUAGUC
rnacentral:rRNA from 1 species